GGAGUAAACUCUUACAGAUCGGGGAGAAAACGCAAACUCCACACAGACUGAACAGAUGGAAGCACUAUCCUCUCGCACUAUCCAGGUGCUAUGAGACAGCAAAGCAACACUACUUACUGUGUCACCAUGCCGCUGGAUACUUACUAUAUUAGUAUAUAAAAACUGGUAGGCGCUGCUUUAAGACGUUUCGGGGGAGGGACUGACCGCAUACGUCGUCGACGGUCCCAUAAAAAUAGUCACUUGACUAGAGUCACUUGACGGGGAUGCCGUUCUGAGAAAUGUGUCAUAUGCGAUUUCGUCGUUAUGCAAACAUAAAAAAAGUGUUCUUAUACAAACCUAGAUGGUAUAGACGUCGAUGCAGUCAAGAGACGCGGUAAACACAAAAUUUAUGACUCUGCUGUAGGCGUAACACAGAGCAUACUGUUUUAGAGUAAACUUUGUUUACACCACAAACACGCGAGUAACACAACUUGCGCUUUUCAGCUCCGCUAUGGGACCACUGUCGCAGGGUCAGUUGUUAAUCGAAACGUCAUUAAGCGGCGUUAAACCGGUUUUAUGGUGUUCGCUCAGCGACGAAGUCGUACUGCGACUGGUUUCACAGAACGUACGGUAUUUCCGUCGUCGUUAAGCGGCGCGUACCUGUUUUUUACUAUAUAUUGGGUCAGAAAUAUUUUGGAUAUAUACUGUAUAUAUCCAAAACAUUUCUGAACCAAUAAAAGCAGGAAGCAGGAUAUAUGUACCUUCAGAAUUUUUUUAAAAAAUCCUGUUAGGAAUGCAAUUUUUUGGCAGGACUUGCCUACUACUCAGGCGUCGCCAGAACUUUUUUUCAGGUGUGUCCAGAUCGCUCAAUUUAUCUUCUGCCAUGUUACUUCUGAGAUGAGUUUUGAUAAGCUUCAGGCAGGAGACGCUCUGCUCACAUGCAGCCGUAGUGACUGGAAUUGCAACUGCAAUUUUACACAACUUAAAGGAUUCCUGGAAAACAUCCUUAUAUGGUUCAACAAAAACAGGACUUGUACUACUGCUGGCAACCUGUCCACUAAAUUGCGACAGGCCAAAUACGUGCAUGCCCACCAUGUGUUACUCAACCAUUGAAGUUCUCUGGGAGCACCUGGAUACAUUUCACCUUGAAUUUGCAGCCAGUUUUGGUGCACCACUGAUCCAGACAUGAAGACAUAUAGCUUUUGUAACAAGGAAAAGAAGCAGUUAGCUUCUGGGAUGGCUUUUACUGUGUCAACAAGCACAAGGUUAAGGCAGUGAGCAUUACAGUGCACAUAAAAGGCCUGCUUUGCCACCUGCUUUACACGUGUCUGUACACCACGAUGCUUACCACUCAUGACUGUAGCCCCAUCAUAAGACUGACCUACCAGAUUACUCUUGUAUUCCAGAACAUAUCUUUCGAGUGUCAGUAAUCCUUUGUGUCAAUCCUUUUGCAUCUAAGCAUUCAGCCUGUUCAAACUCUAAAAACUUAUAUUUAUUGCACCAUUGUAAUAAUACCUUAGUACAAAAGAAAUCUGCUCUUUUUUGCUAUGGUCUUAGCUUCAUCAGGUAGUAUGCUGAACAUCUCACUUUUCUUGACCGCUUUUAUUAUUGAGGUGCGCAACAUCUCUGCUAAGCAAGACAGAAUCUCAUUCUGGAUAUCGACACUUGUAUAUUUUGCAUUACCAACUGCAUUAAUUUUCUUCAUAAUGUUAGGAUUAUGUUUUGCAAUCAGCUCU
rnacentral:lncRNA from 1 species